rnacentral:rRNA from 1 species
UACGUAGGGGGCCAGCGUUGCUCGGAAUUACUGGGCGUAAAGGGUCCGUAGGCGGUGUAGCAAGUCGAUAGUGAAAUCUCUGGGCUUAACCCAGAGGCUGCUAACGAAACUGCUGUGCUAGAGUGUGAGAGAGGCGAGUGGAAUUACGGGUGUAGCGGUGAAAUGCGUAGAUAUCGGGAAGAACACCCGUGGCGAAGGCGGCUCUCUGGGACGGUACUGACGCUGAGACGCGAAAGCGUGGGGAGCGAACAGG